GAUGAACGCUAGCUACAGGCUUAACACAUGCAAGUCGAGGGGCAGCAUGGACAUAGCUUGCUAUGUUUGAUGGCGACCGGCGCACGGGUGCGUAACACGUAUCCAAUCUGCCCGUUACUCGGGGAUAGCCUUCUGAAAGGAAGAUUAAUACCCGAUGACAUGUAUUUCCGGCAUCGGAGAUACAUUAAAGAUUUAUCGGUAACGGAUGAGGAUGCGUACGAUUAGCGUGUUGGCGGGGUAACGGCACACCAAGGCAACGAUCGUUAGGGGUUCUGGGAGGAAGGUCCCCCACACUGGAACUGAGACACGGUCCAGACUCCGACGGGAGGCAGCAGUGAGGAAUAUUGGUCAAUGGUCGGAAGACUGAACCAGCCAAGUAGCGUGAAGGAUGACUGCCCUACGGGUUGUAAACUUCUUUUGUUUGGGAAUAAAAGACGCUACGUGUAGCGUUCUGCAUGUACCUUACGAAUGAGCAUCGGCUAAUUCCGUGCCAGCAGCCGCCGUAAAAC
rnacentral:rRNA from 1 species